rnacentral:rRNA from 1 species
CGAAAGGAAUGCUAAUACCGCAUACGCCCUACGGGGGAAAGCAGGGGAUCUUCGGACCUUGCGCUAAUAGAUGAGCCUAAGUCAGAUUAGCUAGUUGGUGGGGUAAAGGCCUACCAAGGCGACGAUCUGUAGCGGGUCUGAGAGGAUGAUCCGCCACACUGGGACUGAGACACGGCCCAGACUCCUACGGGAGGCAGCAGUGGGGAAUAUUGGACAAUGGGCGCAAGCCUGAUCCAGCCAUGCCGCGUGUGUGAAGAAGGCCUUUUGGUUGUAAAGCACUUUAAGCGAGGAGGAGGCUACUUGGAUUAAUACUCUAGGAUAGUGGACGUUACUCGCAGAAUAAGCACCGGCUAACUCUGUGCCAGCAGCCGCGGUAAUACAGAGGGUGCGAGCGUUAAUCGGAUUUACUGGGCGUAAAGCGUGCGUAGGCGGCUUCUUAAGUCGGAUGUGAAAUCCCUGAGCUUAACUUAGGAAUUGCAUUCGAUACUGGGAAGCUAGAGUAUGGGAGAGGAUGGUAGAAUUCCAGGUGUAGCGGUGAAAUGCGUAGAGAUCUGGAGGAAUACCGAUGGCGAAGGCAGCCAUCUGGCCUAAUACUGACGCUGAGGUACGAAAGCAUGGGGAGCAAACAGGAUUAGAUACCCUGGUAGUCCAUGCCGUAAACGAUGUCUACUAGCCGUUGGGGCCUUUGAGGCUUUAGUGGCGCAGCUAACGCGAUAAGUAGACCGCCUGGGGAGUACGGUCGCAAGACUAAAACUCAAAUGAAUUGACGGGGGCCCGCACAAGCGGUGGAGCAUGUGGUUUAAUUCGAUGCAACGCGAAGAACCUUACCUGGUCUUGACAUAGUAAGAACUUUCCAGAGAUGGAUUGGUGCCUUCGGGAACUUACAUACAGGUGCUGCAUGGCUGUCGUCAGCUCGUGUCGUGAGAUGUUGGGUUAAGUCCCGCAACGAGCGCAACCCUUUUCCUUAUUUGCCAGCGGGUUAAGCCGGGAACUUUAAGGAUACUGCCAGUGACAAACUGGAGGAAGGCGGGGACGACGUCAAGUCAUCAUGGCCCUUACGACCAGGGCUACACACGUGCUACAAUGGUCGGUACAAAGGGUUGCUACCUAGCGAUAGGAUGCUAAUCUCAAAAAGCCGAUCGUAGUCCGGAUUGGAGUCUGCAACUCGACUCCAUGAAGUCGGAAUC